UACAGAGGGGGCAAGCGUUAUUCGGAAUUAUUGGGCGUAAAGGGCGCGUAGGCGGCCUGGCAAGUGGAAGGUGAAAUCCCUCGGCUUAACCGAGGAACUGCCCUCCAAACUGCUUGGCUUGGAGACCGGGAGAGGUGAGUGGAAUUCCCAGUGUAGCGGUGAAAUGCGCAGAUAUCAGGAAGAACACCCGUGGCGAAGGCGGUUCUCUGGGACGGUACUGACGCUGAGACGCGAAAGCGUGGGGAGCGAACAGG
rnacentral:rRNA from 1 species